rnacentral:rRNA from 1 species
CCCAGACUCCUACGGGAGGCAGCAGUGGGGAAUAUUGCACAAUGGGGGAAACCCUGAUGCAGCGACGCCGCGUGAGUGAAGAAGUAUUUCGGUAUGUAAAGCUCUAUCAGCAGGGAAGAAAUAGCGACCUUUGGGUCGCCAGACGGUACCUGAUUAAGAAGCCCCGGCUAACUACGUGCCAGCAGCCGCGGUAAUACGUAGGGGGCAAGCGUUAUCCGGAUUUACUGGGUGUAAAGGGAGCGUAGACGGCAGCGCAAGUCUGAAGUGAAAUGCCGGGGCUUAACCCCGGAACUGCUUUGGAAACUGUGGAGCUUGAGUGCGGGAGGGGCAGGCGGAAUUCCUAGUGUAGCGGUGAAAUGCGUAGAUAUUAGGAGGAACACCGGCGGCGAAGGCGGCCUGCUGGACCGUAACUGACGUUGAGGCUCGAAAGCGUGGGGAGCAAACAGGAUUAGAUACCCGAGUAAAG